UACGUAGGGUGCAAGCGUUAAUCGGAAUUACUGGGCGUAAAGCGUGCGCAGGCGGUUUUGUAAGUUUGUCGUGAAAUCCCCGGGCUCAACCUGGGAACUGCAUUCGUGACUGCAUGGCUGGAGUGCGGCAGAGGGGGAUGGAAUUCCGCGUGUAGCAGUGAAAUGCGUAGAUAUGCGGAGGAACACCGAUGGCGAAGGCAGCCCCCUGGGUCAAGAUUGACGCUCAUGCACGAAAGCGUGGGGAGCAAACAGG
rnacentral:rRNA from 1 species